UGUGCACGCUUGUCAUCUUUAUUCUUCCAACUGUGCACGAUAAUUGUAGAUCCUGGGGAGUGCAUUUUUAUUGUUGAUUCAAUAGAUUGAGGACUUGCUGUUGCUGGCCUUGUUCGUCUUCCAGGUCUAUGUUUUCACACACAAUGUUUUGAGUCUAGUGAUAAUAAUAUAAAAUAUACAACUUUCAGCAACGGAUCUCUUGGCUCUCGCAUCGAUGAAGAACGCANCGAAAUGCGAUAAGUAAUGUGAAUUGCAGAAUUCANUGAAUCAUCGAAUCUUUGAACGCAUCUUGCGCUCCUUGGUAUUCCGAGGAGCAUGCCUGUUUGAGUGUCAUCAAAUUCUCAACCAUGCUGUGGGCAUGGCUUGGACAUGGAGGGCUUUUGCAGGCUUGGAUAAGUCUUGCUCCUCUGAAAAGCAUUAGUGGUGUCAGUGCAGAAAACCACUACAGGUGUGAUAACUUGUCUAUGCCUUGUGUGUAUAAUGCCAUGCUGCUUCAAUGGGCUUUAUUUUGUGAUCUUGACCUCAAAUCAGGNAGGACUACCCGCUGAACUUAAGCAUAUCAAUAA
rnacentral:rRNA from 1 species